ACCCUGAGCAGUGGAUCACUCGGGUCGAUGAAGAACGCAGCUUGCUGCGAUAUUUGGUGUGAAUUGCAGGACACAUUGAACGUCUAAACUUUCGAACGCGUAUGGUGGUCUCAGUUUUUUCGGAAUUUGAGGCCUCACCUGUUU